UUAGCGGCGGACGGGGUGAGUAACGCGUGGACAACCUGCCCUAUGCAGGGGGAUAACAUCCGGAAACGGGUGCUAAUACCGCAUAAGCGCACAGUACCGCAUGGUACGGUGUGAAAAGCUGAGGCGGCAUAGGAUGGGUCCGCGUUGGAUUAGGCAGUUGGCGGGGUAACGGCCCACCAAACCGACGAUCCAUAGCCGGCCUGAGAGGGUGGACGGCCACAUUGGGACUGAGACACGGCCCAGACUCCUACGGGAGGCAGCAG
rnacentral:rRNA from 1 species